rnacentral:rRNA from 1 species
GACCUUAGUUGCCAGCAUUCAGUUGGGCACUCUAAGGUGACUGCCGGCUAAAAAGUCGGAGGAAGUGGGGGAUGACGUCAAAUCAUCAUGCCCCUUAUGACCUGGGCUACACACGUGCUACAAUGGGCGGUACAAAGGGUCGCGGACCCGCGAGGGGGGAGCCAAUCCCAAAAAGCCGCUCUCAGUUCGGAUUGCAGGCUGCAACUCGCCUGCAUGAAGCCGGAAUCGCUAGUAAUCGCGGAUCAGCAUGCCGCGGUGAAUACGUUCCCGGGCCUU